GACGAACGCUGGCGGCGUGCUUAACACAUGCAAGUCGAACGGUGACGCUGGAGCUUGCUCCAGCUGAUCAGUGGCGAACGGGUGAGUAACACGUGAGCAACCUGCCCUUGACUCUGGGAUAACCCCGGGAAACCGGAGCUAAUACCGGAUACGAACCGCACAGGCAUCUGCGCGGUUGGAAAGUUUUUCGGUCAAGGAUGGGCUCGCGGCCUAUCAGCUUGUUGGUGGGGUAACGGCCCACCAAGGCGACGACGGGUAGCCGGCCUGAGAGGGCGACCGGCCACACUGGGACUGAGACACGGCCCAGACUCCUACGGGAGGCAGCAGUGGGGAAUAUUGCACAAUGGGCGAAAGCCUGAUGCAGCGACGCCGCGUGAGGGAUGAAGGCCUUCGGGUCGUAAACCUCUUUCAGCAGGGAAGAAGCGAAAGUGACGGUACCUGCAGAAGAAGCACCGGCUAACUACGUGCCAGCCGCCGCCGUAACAC
rnacentral:rRNA from 1 species